AAGCUCAAUUUGAAAUCUGGCACUUUCAGUGUCCGAGUUGUAAUUUGUAGAAGUAGUUUUGGGGCUGGUCCUUGUUUAUGUUCCUUGGAACAGGACGUCAUAGAGGGUGAGAAUCCCGUGUGGCGAGGAUCCCAGUCCUUUGUAAAACGCUUUCGAAGAGUCGAGUUGUUUGGGAAUGCAGCUCUAAGUGGGUGGUAAAUUCCAUCUAAAGCUAAAUAUUGGCGAGAGACCGAUAGCGAACAAGUACAGUGAUGGAAAGAUGAAAAGAACUUUGAAAAGAGAGUGAAAAAGUACGUGAAAUUGUUGAAAGGGAAGGGCAUUUGAUCAGACAUGGUGUUUGGACGCCCUGCGCUCCUUGUGGGUGCAGGACACGCUUUUCACUGGGCCAACAUCAGUUUUGGCAGCAGGAUAAAUCGCCAGGAACGUAGCUGCCCUCGGGUAGUGUUACAGCCUGGUGGAAUACUGCUAGCCGGGACUGAGGACUGCGUCUUUUGACAAGGAUGUUGGCAUAAUGGUUAAAUGCCGCCCGUCUU
rnacentral:rRNA from 1 species